rnacentral:rRNA from 1 species
ACAUGCAAGUCGAACGAAGUAGCAAUACUUAGUGGCAGACGGGUGAGUAACAUGUGGGUAUCUUCCCUUUGGUGAGGAAUAACACGAGGAAACUUGUGCUAAUACCUCAUAAGUCUUUACGGAGAAAGCUUUAUGCGCCAUUGGAUGAGCCCGCACUUGAUUAGUUUGUUGGUGGGGUAAUGGCCUACCAAGACUUUGAUCAAUAGCUGAUUUGAGAGGAUGAUCAGCCACAUUGGGACUGAGACACGGCCCAAACUCCUACGGGAGGCAGCAGUAGGGAAUCUUGCACAAUGGAGGAAACUCUGAUGCAGCGAUGCCGCGUGAGUGAAGAAGGCCUUUGGGUUGUAAAGCUCUUUCGUCGGGGAAGAAAAUGACUGUACCCGAAUAAGAAGGUCCGGCUAACUUCGUGCCAGCAGCCGCGGUAAUACGAAGGGACCUAGCGUAGUUCGGAAUUACUGGGCUUAAAGAGUUCGUAGGUGGUUAAAAAAGUUGGUGGUGAAAGCCCAGAGCUUAACUCUGGAACUGCCAUCAAAACUUUUUAGCUAGAGUAUGAUAGAGGAAAGCAGAAUUUCUAGUGUAGAGGUGAAAUUCGUAGAUAUUAGAAAGAAUACCAAUUGCGAAGGCAGCUUUCUGGAUCAUUACUGACACUGAGGAACGAAAGCAUGGGUAGCGAAGAGGAUUAGAUACCCUCGUAGUCCAUGCCGUAAACGAUGUGUGUUAGAUGUUGGAAAUUUAUUUUCAGUAUCGCAGCGAAAGCGAUAAACACACCGCCUGGGGAGUACGACCGCAAGGUUAAAACUCAAAUGAAUUGACGGGGACCCGCACAAGUAGUGGAGCAUGUGGUUUAAUUCGAAGAUACGCGCAGAACCUUACCAACACUUGACAUGUUCGUCGCGACUUUAAGAGAUUAAA